CAAACGUUUAACCUUUUAUUCAGUACACUCUCCAAACAGCAUCUCUGUAUCUAGUUCCAAGCUGGGUGAUCCUGCGGCCCCAACAGUAGCGAUGACUCUUGACUGCUCAGAGGAGACACAGACCUCCCAGUUCGGUAGAUCCCCGAGUGAGUCACAGGUGAGACUGGAGGCAGCAGAAACCUCGAGGAAAGUAGGCUCUUCUUGAAGGAUAAGAAAUGGCUGCAUGAAGAAGCGGGUAUUGAAGCUAGGGCUUUGAAGGAUGAAUAGGAGCUUGCCAAACAAAGAAGGUGGGACAUGCAAACCAAGUGGAGGGACUGUGGCCAGAACUUAGGGACAUGUGGAUGGAGGAGCAGGAAGAAAGACAGACGGGAGGAGCGGGAAGAGACAGA